CCGAGUUUCGUGCCCGUACGGGUAGAUCUCCCACCCUAUGUUAUUAUUACCUUGUUGCUUUGGCGGGCCGCCAGGCUCCGGUCAGGCUAUCGGCUUCGGCUGGUAAGCCGCCCGCCAGAGGACCCAAUAUUCCUGAUUAUCAGUGUCGUCUGAGUACUAUGAUAAUAGUUA
rnacentral:misc_RNA from 1 species